AUACAUGCAAGUCGAGCGGACAGAAGGGAGCUUGCUCCCGGAUGUUAGCGGCGGACGGGUGAGUAACACGUGGGUAACCUGCCUGUAAGACUGGGAUAACUCCGGGAAACCGGAGCUAAUACCGGAUAGUUCCUUGAACCGCAUGGUUCAAGGAUGAAAGACGGUUUCGGCUGUCACUUACAGAUGGACCCGCGGCGCAUUAGCUAGUUGGUGAGGUAACGGCUCACCAAGGCGACGAUGCGUAGCCGACCUGAGAGGGUGAUCGGCCACACUGGGACUGAGACACGGCCCAGACUCCUACGGGAGGCAGCAGUAGGGAAUCUUCCGCAAUGGACGAAAGUCUGACGGAGCAACGCCGCGUGAGUGAUGAAGGUUUUCGGAUCGUAAAGCUCUGUUGUUAGGGAAGAACAAGUGCAAGAGUAACUGCUUGCACCUUGACGGUACCUAACCAGAAAGCCACGGCUAACUACGUGCCAGCAGCCGCGGUAAUACGUAGGUGGCAAGCGUUGUCCGGAAUUAUUGGGCGUAAAGGGCUCGCAGGCGGUUUCUUAAGUCUGAUGUGAAAGCCCCCGGCUCAACCGGGGAGGGUCAUUGGAAACUGGGAAACUUGAGUGCAGAAGAGGAGAGUGGAAUUCCACGUGUAGCGGUGAAAUGCGUAGAGAUGUGGAGGAACACCAGUGGCGAAGGCGACUCUCUGGUCUGUAACUGACGCUGAGGAGCGAAAGCGUGGGGAGCGAACAGGAUUAGAUACCCUGGUAGUCCACGCCGUAAACGAUGAGUGCUAAGUGUUA
rnacentral:rRNA from 1 species